UACGUAGGGGUCGAGCGUUGUCCGGAGUUACUGGGCGUAAAGCGUGCGCAGGCGGCUUGUUGCGCCCGGCGUGAAAGCCCCCGGCUCAACCGGGGAGGGUCGUCGGGGACGGGCAAGCUUGAGGGUAUCAGGGGCUGGUGGAAUUCCCGGUGUAGUGGUGAAAUGCGUAGAGAUCAGGAAGAACACCGGUGGCGAAAGCGCUCUGCUGGACCUAAACUGACACUGAGGGACGAAAGCUAGGGGAGCGAAUGGG
rnacentral:rRNA from 1 species